GCGCGCUUGAUAAGCGUGAGGUCGGAAGUUCAAGUCUUCCCAGGCCCACCACUUUCAUCGAGUGAGCAUUCGUCUUCUGGUUACGGGGCCAUAGCUCAGCUGGGAGAGCGCGUGCUUUGCAAGCAUGAGGUCGUCGGUUCGAUCCCGUCUGGCUCCACCAGAUGGUUUGAUCACCGAGGUCAUGCACCGUCGUCCGCGAAACAUCACUUCGCAUCCUGCUAGUCUGGAUAGACAGCAGAAUGCGUGUUUUCUGACAUCGUAAAGAGGAGAUCGAUCCGAGUUGGGUCGUGUAGCAGAUUGCUGCGCGGAUCCUUCAUUAUCUCCGGAUCAUUUUCGGCGCUCGACGCUGACCGCAAGGUUGGCAGCGAGUUGUAAAAUGAUCCUUUUAGCGAAGCUUGACCGCCUCGCUAUCGGAACGAUCUUACGAAGCAAGCUGGUCUUUCUAGUCAAUGUCCGGCUGCGACAAUCGUAUCUUCGAGGGUACGUGCCUUUAGUGGCAAUUGCGCAGACAACAUUCUGCCGAGUGUGUGGACAUUGAUAAUGAGAGC
rnacentral:tRNA from 1 species